rnacentral:rRNA from 1 species
CCUACCCAUGAGAUCGGGAUAACUCCGGGAAACCGGAGCUAAUACCGAAUAACCCAGUGAACUGCAUGGUUCACUGGUAAUUAUGCGGUUUCGGCCGUCACUCAUGGAUGGGCCCGCGGCGCAUUAGCUAGUUGGUAAGGUAACGGCUUACCAAGGCAACGAUGCGUAGCCGACCUGAGAGGGUGAUCGGCCACACUGGGACUGAGACACGGCCCAGACUCCUACGGGAGGCAGCAGUAGGGAAUCUUCCGCAAUGGACGAAAGUCUGACGGAGCAACGCCGCGUGAACGAUGAAGGUCUUCGGAUCGUAAAGUUCUGUUGUUAGGGAAGAACAAGUACCAGAGGAAAUGCUGGUACCUUGACGGUACCUAACCAGAAAGCCACGGCUAACUACGUGCCAGCAGCCGCGGUAAUACGUAGGUGGCAAGCGUUGUCCGGAAUUAUUGGGCGUAAAGCGCGCGCAGGCGGUUUCUUAAGUCUGAUGUGAAAGCCCACAGCUCAACUGUGGAGGGCCAUUGGAAACUGGGGAACUUGAGUACAGAAGAGGAGAGUGGAAUUCCACGUGUAGCGGUGAAAUGCGUAGAUAUGUGGAGGAACACCAGUGGCGAAGGCGACUCUCUGGUCUGUAACUGACGCUGAGGCGCGAAAGCGUGGGUAGCAAACAG